GUCCACGCCGUAAACGAUGGGUGCUAGGUGUGGGGUGUCGACUCCCCCUGUGCCGAAGCUAACGCAUUAAGCACCCCGCCUGGGGAGUACGGCCGCAAGGCUAAAACUCAAAGGAAUUGACGGGGCCCGCACAAGCAGCGGAGCAUGUGGUUUAAUUCGACGCAACGCGAAGAACCUUACCAAGGCUUGACAUGCACGGGAAUGUCGUGGAAACACGGCAGCCCUUCGGGGCUCGUGCACAGGUGGUGCAUGGCUGUCGU
rnacentral:rRNA from 1 species